rnacentral:rRNA from 1 species
AGCGUAGACGGAUGGACAAGUCUGAUGUGAAAGGCUGGGGCUCAACCCCGGGACUGCAUUGGAAACUGCCCGUCUUGAGUGCCGGAGAGGUAAGCGGAAUUCCUAGUGUAGCGGUGAAAUGCGUAGAUAUUAGGAGGAACACCAGUGGCGAAGGCGGCUUACUGGACGGUAACUGACGUUGAGGCCCGAAAGCGUGGGGAGCAAACA